GUCACACCAUGCAUUAGCUCCUGGGCACACAGGUUAGGGGAGCAGCAAGUGUUCACAAACCACACAGACAAGCUCAUUACUGCACGCGGUGCUAUUAGCUUGGGCUCAGGGAUGGCCCAGAUUCCGAGUCCACUCCGUGUCCGCCACCGGCUCCAAUUCUGUCCUCCCUCCAGUGAUGCGAGCUUAGGACCCCAAGUGUCCCGCCCAAGUGGUGAGGCACUGGGGGAAACACUGGCUGCCCCCCGAAAGGUCUGGGACACUAGGCCCAGCUCUGAGCUCAGCUCUGGAUUUAGCCUGAGGCUGACUCACGGCCUCCCCCACUGCCCCCCCAACCAAGGGCUCUGUCUGUUACAGGUCAUUGCCCAGCUGGGGACUGUGCACAGCACAAAGGCACGCCCAGGUCGGCAGCCUGAAUCACCCUCUGGAACCCAGGCAGCCAACUGGCCUGGCUCCCAACCCUUGGCUCCUUUCCUUCUACCCACCACAGUCCCCAGACCAGGGGGGACCCAGUUCCAGAAGCCUCAGAACCAACGCCAUCCCCCGCGGCCCCCCACAGCGGCCCACGUUCCCAGCGGUCUGCACCCUAGGAGUCUGGGUAAAGAGAGGCACUCAAGCCCUUAACUCAGUGAACCGACGUUACGGGCCUGUGAGGGCAUUAACAAAGCUUCCCCAGAACUGCAGCAACUUUGGCUUUCUACCUGCAACACGCCAUCACCAGCCUGGAGGAAGGGGACCUGGAGAAUUGUAAAGCCACUUCACCUAUGGGUGAGAAAUUAGGACUGGUCCUCUUGAAAAUUAACAGGCAGAAUCUGCCUCAGCCCAGAGAGAGGCUUCGUUCAAAGAAUCCGUUCAGUUCAGUGGAGUUCAAGAACUCGUUUGUUCUUAUUACUGCUCAUCAUGAAUUAACAGUGAAAAAUUGGAGAA